rnacentral:rRNA from 1 species
CAAAAACAUCGCCUCUUGACAAAAUAUAAGAGGUCCAGCCUGCCCAGUGACAAAGUUCAACGGCCGCGGUACCCUAACCGCGCGAAGGUAGCAUAAUCACUUGUUCUUUAAAUGGGGACUAGUAUCAACGGCAUCACGAGGGUCUCACUGUCUCCUCUCUCCAAUCAAUGAAACUGAUCUCUCCGUGAAGAAGCGGGGAUUUAACUAUAAGACGAGAAGACCCCAUGGAGCUUUAAACCUAACUACACCCCCAUUUCUCACACCAACUCAACUAACGGGAUUCUGUAAAAUCGGUUUUAGGUUGGGGUGACCGCGGAGUACAAAUUAACCUCCACGAUGAACGGGACUAAUCCCUUAUCUAAGAGAAACAUCUCUAAGAACUAGCACACUAACAUCAAAUGAUCCGACAAUCGAUCAACGAAACAAGUUACCCUGGGGAUAACAGCGCAAUCCACUUCAAGAGCUCCUAUCGACAAGUGGGCUUACGACCUCGAUGUUGGAUCAGGGUAUCCUAGUGGUGCAGCAGCUACUAAAGGUUCGUUUGUUCAACGAUUAAAACCCU